GAUGAAGAACGCAGCGAAAUGCGAUAAGUAAUGUGAAUUGCAGAAUUCAGUGAAUCAUCGAGUCUUUGAACGCACAUUGCGCCCCCUGGUAUUCCGGGGGGCAUGCCUGUCCGAGCGUCAUUGCUGCCCUCAAGCACGGCUUGUGUGUUGGGCCCCCGUCCCCGGUUUCCCCCGGGGACGGGCCCGAAAGGCAGCGGCGGCACCGCGUCCGGUCCUCGAGCGUAUGGGGCUUUGUCACCCGCUCUGUAGGCCCGGCCGGCGCCAGCCGACACCCAACUUUAUUUCUAAGGUUGACCUCGGAUCAGGUAGGAAUACCCGCUGAACUUAAGCAUAUCAAUAAGCGGAGGA
rnacentral:misc_RNA from 1 species